GAUGAACGCUAGCUACAGGCUUAACACAUGCAAGUCGAGGGGAAACGAUGAGAGAGCUUGCUCUCUUAGUCGUCGACCGGCGCACGGGUGAGUAACGCGUAUCCAACCUGCCUCUGACCAAGGGAUAACCCGUCGAAAGUCGGACUAAUACCUUAUGCAGUCGUCGGAAGUCAUCUGAUGACGACGAAAGAUUUCAUCGGUGAGAGAUGGGGAUGCGUCUGAUUAGCUUGUUGGCGGGGUAACGGCCCACCAAGGCGACGAUCAGUAGGGGUUCUGAGAGGAAGGUCCCCCACAUUGGAACUGAGACACGGUCCAAACUCCUACGGGAGGCAGCAGUGAGGAAUAUUGGUCAAUGGGCGUAAGCCUGAACCAGCCAAGUAGCGUGCAGGAUGACGGCCCUAUGGGUUGUAAACUGCUUGUAUGCGGGGAUAAAGUGAGGGACGUGUCCUUCAUUGCAGGUACCGCAUGAAUAAGGACCGGCUAAUUCC
rnacentral:rRNA from 1 species